rnacentral:misc_RNA from 1 species
AAGUCGUAACAAGGUUUCCGUAGGUGAACCUGCGGAAGGAUCAUUACAGAGAACCUCGCCCUUCUGGGUGAAUCUCCAACCCUAUGUUAUACUACUUUGUUGCUUUGGCGAGCCGCUUAGGCCACCGGCUUACGCUGGUGAGUGCUCGCCAGAGAACCCUAAACUCUAAGUUAUUAGUGUCGUCUGAGUACUAUAAAAUAGUUAAAACUUUCAACAACGGAUCUCUUGGUUCUG